rnacentral:lncRNA from 1 species
UUGUCCAUAAGAUCUAACAAUAGUGAAAAACUCUUACUACGUAAGAGGACUGGAGUACUCUCGGAUUGUGAGGGGAACCAGGAUAUAUGAUUGUGUCUUUUAUCUUUCCGCACUUUACCGCUUUCAUCACUUAGCAAUUAACCGAAAAAAAUAAUCCUAACAAAGUCUAAAAACCGAAAAAAAUUCAAAGUACAUAAUUC